rnacentral:miRNA from 1 species
GAAGGAAAAGGAAAUGACUGGG